GUAAGGAAUAUUGGUCAAUGGACGCAAGUCUGAACCAGCCAUGCCGCGUGAAGGAUGAAGGUCCUCUGGAUUGUAAACUUCUUUUAUCUGGGGCGAAAACGGGAUUUUUAUCUCAAUUGACGGUACCAGAGGAAUAAGCACCGGCUAACUCCGUGCCAGCAGCCGCGGUCAUCCGGAGGGUGCGAGCGUUAUCCGGAUUUACUGGGUUUAAAGGGUGCGUAGGUGGGCUUAUAAGUCAGUGGUGAAAUCUCCGAGCUUAACUUGGAAACUGCCGUUGAUACUAUAGGUCUUGAAUUAUCUGGAGGUAAGCGGAAUAUGUCAUGUAGCGGUGAAAUGCUUAGAUAUGACAUAGAACACCAAUUGCGAAGGCAGCUUACUACAUAUAAAUUGACGCUGAGGCACGAAAGCGUGGGGAUCAAACA
rnacentral:rRNA from 1 species